AGAGUUUGAUCAUGGCUCAGAGCGAACGCUGGCGGCAGGCUUAACACAUGCAAGUCGAGCGGGCGUAGCAAUACGUCAGCGGCAGACGGGUGAGUAACGCGUGGGAACGUACCUUUUGGUUCGGAACAACACAGGGAAACUUGUGCUAAUACCGGAUAAGCCCUUACGGGGAAAGAUUUAUCGCCGAAAGAUCGGCCCGCGUCUGAUUAGCUAGUUGGUGAGGUAAUGGCUCACCAAGGCGACGAUCAGUAGCUGGUCUGAGAGGAUGAUCAGCCACAUUGGGACUGAGACACGGCCCAAACUCCUACGGGAGGCAGCAGUGGGGAAUAUUGGACAAUGGGGGCAACCCUGAUCCAGCCAUGCCGCGUGAGUGAUGAAGGCCCUAGGGUUGUAAAGCUCUUUUGUGCGGGAAGAUAAUGACGGUACCGCAAGAAUAAGCCCCGGCUAACUUCGUGCCAGCAGCCGCGGUAAUACGAAGGGGGCUAGCGUUGCUCGGAAUCACUGGGCGUAAAGGGUGCGUAGGCGGGUUUUUAAGUCAGGGGUGAAAUCCUGGAGCUCAACUCCAGAACUGCCUUUGAUACUGAAGAUCUUGAGUCCGGGAGAGGUGAGUGGAACUGCGAGUGUAGAGGUGAAAUUCGUAGAUAUUCGCAAGAACACCAGUGGCGAAGGCGGCUCACUGGCCCGGUACUGACGCUGAGGCACGAAAGCGUGGGGAGCAAACAGGAUUAGAUACCCUGGUAGUCCACGCCGUAAACGAUGAAUGCCAGCCGUUAGUGGGUUUACUCACUAGUGGCGCAGCUAACGCUUUAAGCAUUCCGCCUGGGGAGUACGGUCGCAAGAUUAAAACUCAAAGGGAAUUGACGGGGGCCCGCACAAGCGGUGGAGCAUGUGGUUUAAUUCGACGCAACGCGCAGAACCUUACCAGCCCUUGACAUGUCCAGGACCGG
rnacentral:rRNA from 1 species